AGCGCCGGGGACAGUCGGGGACGUGGCCACGGGUUCCGUGUCCCCCCCAGCUCGGAGCCCCCCGCGGCAGGAUCGGGACCUUUGGGGAGGAAUAUCCAACCCCAAAAUGCCCUCUCCAGCCCCAAAAUUGCCGUUCCAUCCCUAAAAUCCCCAUCCGGCCCCAAAAUCCUCCUCGUUCCAGCCCCAAAAUUCCCGUUCCAUCCCUAAAAUCCCCAUCCGGUCCCAAAAUCCUCCCCGUUCCAGCCUCAAAUCCCCGUUCCUUGGGAUUCCAGGGAUGCGGGGGGAACCCGGCGGAUUUGGGAUGCUCGGCCCUGCCCCGACCCUCCUCGGAUUUCCACCUUUUCCCUGGAUUUUUGCCUUUUUCCUCCUCUCCUUCGUCCUUUGCUGAGCUCCAGCCCAAUCCCAGCUCCAUCCCGAGCCGGCAGGGGGGGAAAAUCCAGGGAAUUCUUUGAAAGCCAAAGGCGCUCCCGGACCGGGAGGUGGCAGCAGGAGACCGCGCUCGGCUGAUCCCAAAUCCCUUCGGGAAAGGAGCGACCGGGAUGGAGCUGCGCCUUAUGGGGUGAGCGGGCCUCCCCCAGCCCCAGAUAAAAUCCUGGAGCCGUGUCCGGGCUGGUUCCGAUGGGAAAAGGCUGCCCCAAAAUGCGACAACGCCGCUUCCUCCCAGACGCCACCAGCGCCCCUGGCAGCUGCCAGGUCCUGGCAGGACCAAAACCACACCCUGGCACACCCAAUCCCGGGAUUCCUCCGUUGCCGGGAUUCCUGUUCCCAGCCCGGAUCCGCCGUGGGAUCCCUGAAAGCUCCGGUGGUUUCGGAAAAGUGAAUUAUUCAGCGGUGACCCCGGCGGAGGCGGCGCAGCAUCAAUUAUUGAGCGGCAGAGCCGUCGAAUUCCCUCCUAAAUAACUCAUCCCGCGCCUUCCCGGGAAAUUACACAUCCGAUCUCCCGCCUAAACGCUCUCCCGGGAAAUCCGCUGGGGCAGGAGUUAGGCCUGGGCGGAGGAGGAGGAGGAGGAGGAGGGGGAGGAAGGAGUUCUGCCAGGAGAUCCCGGGAUUUGGCUUCGCCGGGAGCAUCCCGGUGCUGCCCAUCGGGGUCAGGGAUCCAAAGGGGUUGGGCCCAUCCUGGGUGGUUCCCUUCUUGAGAUCCCUCCAGCCGUGGGAAAAGGGAUCCCAGGGAUCCUUCAAUCCGUGGGAAAAGGGAUCCCAGGGAUCCUUCAAGCCGUGGGGAAAGGGAUUCCAGGGAUCCUUCCAGCCGUGGGGAAAGGGAUUCCAGGGAUCCUUAAAGCCGUGGGGAAAGGGAUCCCAGGGAUCCUUCAAUCCAUGGGGAAAGGGAUUCCAGAGAUCCUUCCAGCCGUGGAGAAAGGGAUCCCAGGGAUCCCAGGGAUCCUUCCAGCCACGGGAACUUCCCCAAAACCUGGGGAAGCAGCUCCCACUCCCAGCCCUGCUGGAUUCAGGGAAUCUCCCCCAAAUCCUCCUGGCGUGGGUGCAACUCCCGGCAAGGCCCAAACCCCGGGAUUGCUCUGGCUCGGGCAUCCCAGGAAUUUUUUUUUCCCGAGUUUUUGGUGUAAUUAAAGCACCCUGGGGGGAGGGGGGAGGGGCUGCGGCCAGCAGGGCGCCAGGAGAUCCCAAACUCCGGGAAGGGAUCCCUAGGGUUGAUCCAUCCCAUCGCGCGGGAAUUGCGAAUUCCAGAGAAUCCCUCGGAUCCCAGGAACGGGGUGGGGCUAAUUAAAGUAAUUCAUUAAUCCCACAGCCCGGUGCCGUGGAAUGGGGAAGCGCCGCGGAUCCGAUGGGGCGGAGCAGCCGAAUUUUGGGAAGGGGCAGGGCUGGGAAACGCAAAUUCCGAACCCAGGGGGUUCAUGGAAGAAGGGGGAAAAACCGGGAUUUUUUCCAGGCUGGAAUUUUUCUCCAGGCGAGGGGAGGCCCCCUGGCCCCCCACCCACCCGCCGGUGAUGUUUGGGUUAAUAAUUAAUUGUUGAUUUGCGGGUUGAUAAUUAAUUGUUCGAUUGUUUUAUUAUUUUAUUGCUUUGUUAUUUUACUGGUUUAUU